rnacentral:rRNA from 1 species
AGGAUGAACGCUGGCGGCGUGCUUAACACAUGCAAGUCACGGGGGCCCAGCAAUGGGCAACCGGCGAACGGGUGCGUAACACGUGAGCAACCUAUCGAAUGUGGGGGAUAGCCGGCCCAACGGCCGGGUAAUACCGCAUACGCUCGAGACGAGGCAUUUCGACUCGAGGAAACCUCCGGGGCAAUUUGAGGGGCUCGCGGCCUAUCAGCUAGUUGGUGAGGUAACGGCUCACCAAGGCGACGACGGGUAGCUGGU